AACGUAGGAGACAAACGUUAUCCGGAGUUACUGGGCGUAAAGGGCGUGCAGGCGGUCGACUAAGUCUGGCGUGAAAGCUCUCGGCUAAACCGGGAGAGGUCGUUGGAUACUGGUUGACUAGAGGACGGUAGAGGCGUGUGGAAUUCCGGGUGUAGUGGUGAAAUGCGUAGAGAUCCGGAGGAACACCAGUGGCGAAGGCGACACGCUGGGCCGUACCUGACGCUGAUACGCGACAGCAUGGGGAGCAAGCAGG
rnacentral:rRNA from 1 species